AAACUUCCUAACUACUCUCUACAAUUUUUACAAGGCUAAGAAGAAGAAAAAGACUUUACAAUAUCUUCAGUAAGUCUCGAUCUUCGUCUAUCGUCUUAGCCAAAGGUUUUGAGGCCGAAUGGUUUUCAUCAUUCCCUCCCUCUUGAAAAGGAUCUGUCAUCAGAUCUGAAUGAUGCUCAAUGACAAAAACCUCUGUUUAUUUGAUGUUUUCCUCUUUGGUCAAAUGUCAAUCUACAAUAAACAUCAAACAAAAAUGAGAUAAAUAUAUUUUUUGAAAGAAAAUUAAAACAAAUGAAAACUGAACAGAAAUAAGGCCCUUUAUUUUUAUAAAAGUUUUGAAUGAAAAUUGUACUAGACAAAGCGCUCAAGGCUCCGUACUCUGUGGUCGAAUCUCGGUGCAUGGCACAGGCAGGUCAGCUCAUCUGUUGGGCCAGUAGAAUGGGCCAUGUGAUUGGGCCUAGUUUGGUUAUUAAAUCCGUUUUGGUAUAAUUGAAGUAAUCUUUUAUACGUAAGGCUAUUAAUAAAGGGUAUUUGUGGACCUAGGGCUGCACUUAGUGCAUGUAGGGUCUAGGUCAAGUAAAUGUUUUCUUUUAAACCUAAGUCAGUGUGUUUUAGGGCACAUAUAUAGUGGCUAGGUUGCAUGUACAGUGAAAGAUAACGUUACACCACGAGUAGGGUGCCCAUGCAAGUAGAAUGUUCCCCUGAUGUUGGUGCAUGAGUUGGUGCCCUGGUGGUUAUUCUGUUAUUAUUCUAUGCACUCCUGGGAGACAAUAUUCGUUCUGUUGUGGCACCUUGAGAGUAGGCACCCCUGAACAAGAUGUGUUUCUUCUGUUGAGGAUACCUUUCAGUUGAGAUUAGAUUAUAGUGAGAGAAAACUGUUACAAGAGGUAAGUUAUAAAAAGUGCUCGAGACCCCAGGUUAAGUUAUGUUGUUUCUAAGACUGAAACUUACUACUUGAUUUUUAAUAAGCCCUUACUGACUUGAUCUUUGGAGUGCAAUCAACAGGUAGGACCCCCUCUGUUUCAGCGGAGCUACGUUCCAGAGCAGCAAGAGAUAGGACAGAUUCUUGAAGAGACAGACAGAGCUAAAGUUUGUCACCAGAGGUAACAAGCGAGCAAGUCAACCGGCAAGAACAAAAAUUACAGGGCCCUUUUCAAAAAUAUUUUGUUCACUUUAUGUUGUUUAUUGCCAAAGCUAAGCAACAACAUCACAAAGUGUGGAUUUUUAGAUUUUUGUGAAGAAGAAUGAGCAUUGUAUAAUUGAAAAGAAGAGUUCAAAGUAUUGCAAUCUCCCAUUAAGGAUUCUUUCUCAACUAUGCUUGCAAGGGGUGUCAUAAAAGACUUUUCUUCUUUGUUGGUUUCCUCUUCUUCUUCCUUUUCAAUCAAAUAUUCUUUUAUAUUUUCUGUGGAGGAAACAUUUACAUUUAUAUCUAGUUCAGCUCCAAACAUAGAUUUUUCUUCAAGCACAUCCUCAGAAGGGUUUUCUGGAGAAGAUAAAACGUUAUCGAUAUCUGAUUCAACUCCAGAAAAAAGGUAUUUUGUACUUUCCUUUUCUAUCAUCACUUUUUGUCUCUUUACUUUCUCUUCUCUAUCUUUUCUUUCGUUCUCCACUCUUUGUCUUUUGUCUUUCUCUUCCUUUCUUUCUGACAGGAGCUUGUAUUUUUUCUAGCAUAUUCUUUUUUUUGGUCUACAAAUUUCUUCCUAUUUUAACAAGCUCCUUCAUUUGUUCUCUAAGCUUUCUUUUUUAUCAUAUGAAGGUGGAACAAAUUUUCUUCUCAUACACGCCUUUAAAUCACUCAAAUACUCUACUUUUGAUGUUGUACCAAUAAUAACAUCAAGUUGCCUUCGUUGCCACCAAGACCUUGCAUAUUCUUGAAAACAUAGGGUAGGCAAGAAAAAUCCAGUAUAUUCAUCCAUUUUGUAUUUCUUAAAAGUUAGAUGAAGCUUUGUCUCCCAUUCUAAAUAUUCUUCAACAUUUUUGUUUCCAUCAAAGUAGGGAAUGCAUACUUCAGACUUUGUAGAAUAAUACAAACUUCUAAGCUCAAAACACACCCCUUCCUUUCCUUAUGAGGGUUAUAAAUUUUUCUUCCAUGACUAUACACCUCAUGAUGUUUGCUCCUAGAUUUUUCUUCAUUUUGCAUGUAUUGAGCAAACAUGAUUUUAAACUCUUCCAUGAAUGUUUCUUUAGAACUCAUUCUAUUUUUUAUUUGAUUUCUUUUUUUGAAAAUCAACAGUUUACAAGAAGGUUGAAAGGUCAAAAUGUUUUCAAGUUCAUUCCAGGGAAGAGAGGUGAGUCACAAGGACUACUUAAGCCAGAGUUCCCUCAGUUAGCUUUCAUCAGUCUUCCUUAAUGGAAACUCCAAUUAAUUUUUCUUAAAAAAGAAAGUUAAACUUUGAAAAUAAUCUAAGACACUAAUCCUAAGUGAGACUCAGAAGCACUUGUAGACUUCUUAAGACACACUCACUAUCUAAGCGUAUUAAAAUGAAAUUAAAAAAACUAGACGAAUCCUAGGUGAGGCUCAUUGGCACCUAUGGACCUUUGAGACACACUCAGUCUGCAUGCAUUAUUAAUUUCACUAUUAGUAUAAAAGGAUUACAAGAGAAUUAAUAUGAAAAGCAAAAUUAAAAAAAUUCUCCCGAUGUUUGCACUCUUCUCUUCCCUGUAGUGUUUAGCUCUUGCUUUUGAACUUUCUACUUGGUGAUUUUCUCAAGAGUAGUCAUCCUUAGCUUGACUUUUUCUUCUUCAAUAUGCUACCUAUCAAUGUUAGUCAACCUUUUCCAAAGAUGAUAUUAAGAAAUAAUUUCCAUCAAAAGAGAUAAAUAAUACUCAAAAUCAAGAAAACCUCAAAAUUAAGAAAGUUAAACUCAAGAGAUUUAGAAUUUUGACAAGACACAAAGACUAUCAAAAAAUGAUGACAAACAAGAAAUUAAAGACUAUCAAGAAAUUAGGCACUCAAAGGAAGCACCUAAAGAUUGACACUAAAAUUGGAUUACAAAAAGAAAAAUUAAAGAAUAUCAAUUUUUUCUUUCAAUGUUACAUAAGAUCCAAAAAGAUGUUGGCCCAAUGUAACUAGGUUCAAAACAAACUCUAUCAUGCUUUUUGCACCUCCAAAAUUACUGCAUCAAAAUUAUUCAAUUAGAAUUGUGCAGCCCAAGUAAUAGUGCAACACGGUUUUGGCCUAAAAUGUUUUAAAAGAAAUGGCACAUUCAAUUUAGCAAAAACAUAAAAUGUCAAACGUGGACCCCACCAAAAUUCUUCAAUUGCAAUCCACUAGAAUAUGCUUUAAAAUUUUGAAACAAAUCACGCGAAUCACCGAGAUAAUUCAGAAAUAAACUUCUCUGAGUUCCACUGUGUAAUUUUAGUUUGCGGAAAGCUCCAAAUCAAUUUUUCAUGAACGUCUAAAUCUCACAAUUUACUGCAACCAUUUUUUUUAAUUGUAAAAGCUACCACACUCACGGUUGAACUUCCACCAAUUCAGCUUACCCAAUUUGCUUUCUUUUUCUAACUUUUCUUGUAUUCAUUGAUGCAAAUCAAUUAAGCAUUGGAUCAACACACCAAAAUUGUAUAACUACUCCAAUUUAGUAACCAACAGAACUGACCCAAAGUGCAAUGCCAAAACUGUUUCACUGCACUCCAAAGCAAACAAAUCAAGAACUGUAUAGCAAUUUGCUAAACUGCACCAGUAUUCCGCACUACCAAUUUUCUGGACUACACCAACAACAGUUUUAAUCAAGCAACAACACCUUCUCUUGGCUGCACUAAGACACAAUCGAACCAAAUAUCUCCAAGCGAUUCACUCACCGAAAGAAGGCACAGGCUGUGAGGAGAUUGAUUCACCAAAUUCCAUAUUCCAGUUUCAAUUUUCUUCUACAACUCACCAUUUCUCCAUUUAAACUUCUUCAAAACGAAGAACAGUGAAGGAAAAACGAAAACGGAAGAAGAAACUUACAUGAAUCAAUUCAUUCUUCACUGCUUUAAUUCUUCGAUUUUCAAUUCACCAAACCAACUCGAUCGUGAUUCAAAUAGAUUUCUUCGAUCGUCUUCUCCGUUCACCGGUUUCGCUGGAAAACGACACUGCCGUUUACGAUUCCUCCGUUCGCAUUUCCUCUGUGCGCGAUUCCGGUUUAGGUCGUCGAAAAUCACUAACUUCGAUUGUCACUGUUAUUAUUCUUCGAUCAAUCUUCGCACACAGAUUCAAUAUGAAGCCGAAGAAGAAGAUGAAGAACAACAAAGCAAAUCACAGAAAAUUUUCAGGAAAUAUCUGAAAAACCUAAACUCGAUCUGCUAUUCGUACCUCUAGAUUAACUGUCCGCACCAAACAUCCAAUGAGAUAUCCAAACAGGUUCAGAUUAAUAUGCACACCACUUGAAUCGCUUUUUGCACCACAGAGAUUUUUUCAGAAUACUUUUGAGAAUUUUCGAAAAUGAAAUUUGGAGUAGAUGAUUAUGGAAAAUGAUCUAGUAGCAAUUUAAGAACUAAAAAAUGAAAUCAAAAGCACUUAAGAGCUCUAAUCUAUGAAGAAAUUUGAUUUUUUUUCAAAAAGAUUAACUAAUGGAGUUUAUGACAAUUUUUGGACUAAACAU
rnacentral:lncRNA from 1 species